rnacentral:rRNA from 1 species
AUUGAACGCUGGCGGCAGGCCUAACACAUGCAAGUCGAACGAGUGGCGGACGGGUGAGUAAUGUCUGGGAAACUGCCUGAUGGAGGGGGAUAACUACUGGAAACGGUAGCUAAUACCGCAUACCAUCGGAUGUGCCCCGAUGGGAUUAGCUAGGAGGUGGGGUAACGGCUCACCUAGGCGACGAUCCCUAGCUGGGCUGAGAGGAUGACCAGCCAAACUGGAACUGAGACACGGUACAGACUCCUACGGGAGGCAGCAGUGGGGAAGAGUGCACAAGGGGCGCAAGCCUGAUGCAGACAUGCCGCGUGUAUGAAGAAGGCCUUCGGGGGGUAAAGGACUUUCAGCGGGGAGGCGUUACACGCAGAAGAAGCACCGGCUAACUCCGUGCCAGCAGCCGCGGUAAUUC